ACCAUUUGAUGAAAAUUAGGAUAGAAUUUGACACAAACACUUUUAGGAACUAAAUUGAAACAAAGUAAAGGAAAAUAGAAGAAAUGGAAUAAGUAGAAGGGGCGCCACACUCUUUCUAAUCCAAGAAAGAAUGAUAAGCCUAUGGAUGAAGAUCACCACAAGAAAAGGAUUCCUUGAUAAGAUCAAUUUUGGUCCAAUCCAGAAC
rnacentral:lncRNA from 1 species